rnacentral:rRNA from 1 species
CCUGGUGCUGAAGGCGCAGUGGAACCACUCCGACCCAUCCCGAACUCGGUAGUGAAACGCUGCAGCGGCGAAGAUACUUGACGGGUGACUGUCUGGGAAAAUAGCUCGGUGCCAGGU